AUUGAACGCUGGCGGCAGGCUUAACACAUGCAAGUCGAACGAGUGGCGGACGGGUGCGUAAUGCUUGGGAAUCUAGCUUAUGGAGGGGGAUAACUACGGGAAACUGUAGCUAAUACCUCGUACCAUAGUAUGAGCCCUAGUGGGUUUAGGUAGUUGGUGAGGUAAAGGCUCACCAAGCCGACGAUCACUAGCUGGUCUGAGAGGAUGACCAGCAACACUGGGACUGAGACACGGCCCAGAGUCCUACGGAGGGAAGCAGUGGGAAAUAUUGCGCAAGGGGGGAAACCUGACGCAGCCAUGCCGCGGGAAUGAAGAAGGCCUUCGGGGUGUAAAGUUCUUUCGGUAGCGAGGCGUUAACUACAGAAGAAGCACCGGCUAACUACGUGCCAGCAGCCGCGGUAAUAC
rnacentral:rRNA from 1 species